UACGAAGGGGGCGAGCGUUGCUCGGAAUCACUGGGCGUAAAGCGCACGUAGGCGGACUCUUAAGUCAGGGGUGAAAUCCUGGAGCUCAACUCCAGAACUGCCUUUGAUACUGGGAGCCUUGAGUUCGGGAGAGGUGAGUGGAACUGCGAGUGUAGAGGUGAAAUUCGUAGAUAUUCGCAAGAACACCAGUGGCGAAGGCGGCUCACUGGCCCGAUACUGACGCUGAGGUGCGAAAGCGUGGGGAGCAAACAGG
rnacentral:rRNA from 1 species